CUUGUAGGCGGUUCGUUAAGUCUGGUGUGAAAUCUCCCGGCUCAACCGGGAGGGGUCAUUGGAUACUGGCGGACUAGAGACGGGUAGAGGAAAGCAGAAUUCCCGGUGUAGCGGUGAAAUGCGUAGAUAUCGGGAGGAAUACCAGUGGCGAAGGCGGCUUUCUGGGCCUGUUCUGACGCUGAGGGGCGAAAGCGUGGGGAGCAAACC
rnacentral:rRNA from 1 species